CGUAACGCGGCCUUGGGGCAUCCCCGGGCCGCCAAAGGGAGCAAUCCCGGCCACGGAUGGGCAUGCGGCGCAUUAGCUAGUCGGCGGGGUAACGGCCCACCGAGGCGACGAUGCGUAGGGGUUCUGAGAGGAAGGCCCCCCACACUGGUACUGAGACACGGACCAGACUCCUACGGGAGGCAGCAGUGAGGAAUAUUGGUCAAUGGGCGCGAGCCUGAACCAGCCAAGUCGCGUGAGGGAAGACGGCCCUACGGGUUGUAAACCUCUUUUGCCGGGGAGCAACGGGCGUCACGAGUGACGCCACUGAGAGUACCCGGAGAAAAAGCAUCGGCUAACUCCGUGCCAGCAGCCGCGGUAAUACGGAGGAUGCGAGCGUUAUCCGGAUUUAUUGGGUUUAAAGGGUGCGUAGGCGGAUCGUUAAGUCAGUGGUCAAAUUGAGGGGCUCAACCCCUUCCCGCCAUUGAAACUGGCGCUCUUGAGUGGAAGAGAAGUAUGCGGAAUGCGUGGUGUAGCGGUGAAAUGCAUAGAUAUCACGCAGAACCCCGAUUGCGAAGGCAGCAUGCCGGCUUCCUACUGACGCUGAAGCACGAAAGCGUGGGGAUCGAACAGGAUUAGAUACCCUGGUAGUCCACGCGGUAAACGAUGAGCGCUAGGUGUCCGGGGGGAAUGGCCCCUGGUGCCACAGCGAAAGCGUAAGCGCUCCAUCUUGGGGAGUACGCCGGUAAUGGUGAAACUCAAAGGAAUUGACGGGGGCCCGCACAAGCGGAGGGACAUGUGGUUUAAUUCGAUGAUACGCGAGGAACCUUACCCGGGCUCAAACGUUGCAGGAAGGGCUUCUGAAAGGAAGCCCGUCUACGGACCUGCAACGAGGUGCUGCAUGGUUGUCGUCAGCUCGUGCCGUGAGGUGUCGGCUUAAGUGCCAUAACGAGCGCAACCCCUACCGCCAGUUGCCAACAGGCAAAGCUGGGGACUCUGGCGGGACUGCCGGCGCAAGCUGCGAGGAAGGCGGGGAUGACGUCAAAUCAGCACGGCCCUUACGUCCGGGGCGACACACGUGUUACAAUGGCAGGUACAGCGGGAAGCCACCUGGCGACAGGGAGCGGAACCCGAAAGCCUGUCUCAGUUCGGAUUGGAGUCUGCAACCCGACUCCAUGAAGCUGGAUUCGCUAGUAAUCGCGCAUCAGCCACGGCGCGGUGAAUACGUUCCCGGGCCU
rnacentral:rRNA from 1 species